rnacentral:rRNA from 1 species
UUACUGGUGCCCUAGUUGAAUUAGAACCACACCAACCCAUCCCGAACUUGGUUGUGAAAUGAUUCAAAGGCGAAAAUACUUUUAGGGUAGCCUUCUGGGAAAAUAGUUUGGCGCCAGUAA